GGAGGAUGGCUCAGUGGUAGAGUGCUUGCCUUGAAUGCAUGAGGCCCUGGGUUCGAUUCCCCAGCACCA
rnacentral:tRNA from 1 species